GGCGAAAAGAACCCCGGCGAGGGGAGUGAAAAAGAACCUGAAACCGUGUACGUACAAGCAGUGGGAGCCUCUUAAUGGGGUGACUGCGUACCUUUUGUAUAAUGGGUCAGCGACUUAUAUUCUGUAGCAAGGUUAACCGAAUAGGGGAGCCGAAGGGAAACCGAGUCUUAACUGGGCGUUAAGUUGCAGGGUAUAGACCCGAAACCCGGUGAUCUAGCCAUGGGCAGGUUGAAGGUUGGGUAACACUAACUGGAGGACCGAACCGACUAAUGUUGAAAAAUUAGCGGAUGACUUGUGGCUGGGGGUGAAAGGCCAAUCAAACCGGGAGAUAGCUGGUUCUCCCCGAAAGCUAUUUAGGUAGCGCCUCGUGAAUUCAUCUCCGGGGGUAGAGCACUGUUUCGGCAAGGGGGUCAUCCCGACUUACCAACCCGAUGCAAACUGCGAAUACCGGAGAAUGUUAUCACGGGAGACACACGGCGGGUGCUAACGUCCGUCGUGAAGAGGGAAACAACCCAGACCGCCAGCUAAGGUCCCAAAGUCAUGGUUAAGUGGGAAACGAUGUGGGAAGGCCCAGACAGCCAGGAUGUUGGCUUAGAAGCAGCCAUCAUUUAAAGAAAGCGUAAUAGCUCACUGGUCGAGUCGGCCUGCGCGGAAGAUGUAACGGGGCUAAACCAUGCACCGAAGCUGCGGCAGCGACACUAUGUGUUGUUGGGUAGGGGAGCGUUCUGUAAGCCUGUGAAGGUGGCCUGUGAGGGUUGCUGGAGGUAUCAGAAGUGCGAAUGCUGACAUAAGUAACGAUAAAGCGGGUGAAAAGCCCGCUCGCCGGAAGACCAAGGGUUCCUGUCCAACGUUAAUCGGGGCAGGGUGAGUCGACCCCUAAGGCGAGGCCGAAAGGCGUAGUCGAUGGGAAACAGGUUAAUAUUCCUGUACUUGGUGUUACUGCGAAGGGGGGACGGAGAAGGCUAUGUUGGCCGGGCGACGGUUGUCCCGGUUUAAGCGUGUAGGCUGGUUUUCCAGGCAAAUCCGGAAAAUCAAGGCUGAGGCGUGAUGACGAGGCACUACGGUGCUGAAGCGACAAAUGCCCUGCUUCCAGGAAAAGCCUCUAAGCAUCAGGUAACAUCAAAUCGUACCCCAAACCGACACAGGUGGUCAGGUAGAGAAUACCAAGGCGCUUGAGAGAACUCGGGUGAAGGAACUAGGCAAAAUGGUGCCGUAACUUCGGGAGAAGGCACGCUGAUAUGUAGGUGAAGCGACUUGCUCGUGGAGCUGAAAUCAGUCGAAGAUACCAGCUGGCUGCAACUGUUUAUUAAAAACACAGCACUGUGCAAACACGAAAGUGGACGUAUACGGUGUGACGCCUGCCCGGUGCCGGAAGGUUAAUUGAUGGGGUUAGCGGUAACGCGAAGCUCUUGAUCGAAGCCCCGGUAAACGGCGGCCGUAACUAUAACGGUCCUAAGGUAGCGAAAUUCCUUGUCGGGUAAGUUCCGACCUGCACGAAUGGCGUAAUGAUGGCCAGGCUGUCUCCACCCGAGACUCAGUGAAAUUGAACUCGCUGUGAAGAUGCAGUGUACCCGCGGCAAGACGGAAAGACCCCGUGAACCUUUACUAUAGCUUGACACUGAACAUUGAGCCUUGAUGUGUAGGAUAGGUGGGAGGCUUUGAAGUGUGGACGCCAGUCUGCAUGGAGCCGACCUUGAAAUACCACCCUUUAAUGUUUGAUGUUCUAACGUGGGCCCCUUACCGGGGUUGCGGACAGUGUCUGGUGGGUAGUUUGACUGGGGCGGUCUCCUCCUAAAGAGUAACGGAGGAGCACGAAGGUUGGCUAAUCCUGGUCGGACAUCAGGAGGUUAGUGCAAUGGCAUAAGCCAGCUUGACUGCGAGCGUGACGGCGCGAGCAGGUGCGAAAGCAGGUCAUAGUGAUCCGGUGGUUCUGAAUGGAAGGGCCAUCGCUCAACGGAUAAAAGGUACUCCGGGGAUAACAGGCUGAUACCGCCCAAGAGUUCAUAUCGACGGCGGUGUUUGGCACCUCGAUGUCGGCUCAUCACAUCCUGGGGCUGAAGUAGGUCCCAAGGGUAUGGCUGUUCGCCAUUUAAAGUGGUACGCGAGCUGGGUUUAGAACGUCGUGAGACAGUUCGGUCCCUAUCUGCCGUGGGCGCUGGAGAACUGAGGGGGGCUGCUCCUAGUACGAGAGGACCGGAGUGGACGCAUCACUGGUGUUCGGGUUGUCAUGCCAAUGGCACUGCCCGGUAGCUAAAUGCGGAAGAGAUAAGUGCUGAAAGCAUCUAAGCACGAAACUUGCCCCGAGAUGAGUUCUCCCUGACUCCUUGAGAGUCCUGAAGGAACGUUGAAGACGACGACGUUGAUAGGCCGGGUGUGUAAGCGCAGCGAUGCGUUGAGCUAACCGGUACUAAUGAACCGUGAGGCUUAACCUUACAACGCCGAAG
rnacentral:rRNA from 1 species